ACUCAAAUGAAUUGACGGGGACCCGCACAAGCGGUGGAGCAUGUGGUUUAAUUCGAUGCUACGCGAAGAACCUUACCAAGGUUUGACAUCCCAGGAAAGCGCUAGAAACAGCGCCGUGCCUUUUAGGAACCUGGUGACAGGUGCUGCAUGGCCGUCGUCAGCUCGUGUCGUGAGAUGUUGGGUUAAGUCCCGCAACGAGCGCAACCCCUGUCGUCUGUUGGAUUUUUCAGGCGAGACUGCCCCGGCCAACGGGGAGGAAGGUGGGGUCGAAGUCAGGUCAGCAUGGCCCUUACACCUUGGGCUACACACGUGCUACAAUGGCCGGUACAACGCGCAAGAGCCAACCCGCGAGGGGGAGCUAAUCGCACCAAAACCGGUCUCAGUUCGGAUUGAAGGCUGCAACUCGCCUCCAUGAAGUUGGAAUCGCUAGUAACCGUGGGUCAGCAUACCACGGUGAAUACGUUCCCGGGUCUUGUACACACCGCCCGU
rnacentral:rRNA from 1 species